AACGAACGCUGGCGGCAGGCUUAACACAUGCAAGUCGAGCGCCCCGCAAGGGGCGCGGCAGACGGGUGAGUAACGCGUGGGAACGUACCUUUUGGUUCGGAACAACUCCGGGAAACUGGAGCUAAUACCGGAUAAGCCCUAACGGGGAAAGAUUUAUCGCCGAAAGAUCGGCCCGCGUCUGAUUAGCUAGUUGGUGAGGUAACGGCUCACCAAGGCGACGAUCAGUAGCUGGUCUGAGAGGAUGAUCAGCCACACUGGGACUGAGACACGGCCCAGACUCCUACGGGAAGCAGCAGUGGGGAAUAUUGGACAAUGGGCGCAAGCCUGAUCCAGCCAUGCCGCGUGAGUGAUGAAGGCCUUAGGGUUGUAAAGCUCUUUUGUCCGGGAAGAUAAUGACUGUACCGGAAGAAUAAGCCCCGGCUAACUUCGUG
rnacentral:rRNA from 1 species